rnacentral:rRNA from 1 species
UACGUAGGGGGCAAGCGUUGUCCGGAUUUAUUGGGCGUAAAGAGCGUGUAGGCGGCUUGGUAGGUCCGUUGUGAAAACUCGAGCUCAACCUCGAGACGCCGAUGGAAACCACCAAGCUAGAGUCCGGAAGAGGAGAAUGGAAUUCCUGGUGUAGCGGUGAAAUGCGCAGAGUAAUCAGGAAGAACACCCGUGGCUAAGGCGGUUCUCUAGUACGGUACUGACGCUAAGACGCGAAAGCGUGGGGAGCGAACAGGA